rnacentral:rRNA from 1 species
GACGAACCGUGCGAACGUUGUUCGGAAUCACUGGGCUUAAAGGGCGCGUAGGCGGGCGGCCGCGUCCGGGGUGAAAUCCCGCCGCUCAACGGCGGAACGGCCUCGGAUACGGGCGGCCUCGAGGGGGGUAGGGGCGUGCGGAACUCUGGGUGGAGCGGUGAAAUGCGUUGAUAUCCAGAGGAACUCCGGUGGCGAAGGCGGCACGCUGGACCCCUUCUGACGCUGAGGCGCGAAAGCCAGGGGAGCGAACGGG